rnacentral:rRNA from 1 species
CCUACGGGAGGCAGCAGUGAGGAAUAUUGGUCAAUGGACGAGAGUCUGAACCAGCCAAGUAGCGUGAAGGAUGACUGCCCUAUGGGUUGUAAACUUCUUUUAUAUGGGAAUAAAACGUUCCACGUGUGGGAUUUUGUAUGUACCAUAUGAAUAAGGAUCGGCUAACUCCGUGCCAGCAGCCGCGGUAAUACGGAGGAUCCGAGCGUUAUCCGGAUUUAUUGGGUUUAAAGGGAGCGUAGGUGGAUUGUUAAGUCAGUUGUGAAAGUUUGCGGCUCAACCGUAAAAUUGCAGUUGAAACUGGCAGUCUUGAGUACAGUAGAGGUGAGCGGAAUUCGUGGUGUAGCGGUGAAAUGCUUAGAUAUCGCGAAGAACUCCGAUUGCGAAGGCAGUUCACUGGACUGCAACUGACACUGAGGCUCGAAAGUGUGGGUAUCAAACAGGAUUAGAUACCCUUGUAGUC